CUCACACAAGUGGAAGACAGAGAGCUUUAGUGACUCAAGAUUCUGUUCCAAGCAAGGAGGAGGAUUAAAUUAUAGCAAAGCGGAAGCAUGGAGCUGGCUUCUACAAUCUGUCGGAGCCUGGGUAUACAGUGGGAAUCCCAGAUCUCAGGAUAACUUUGUAACAGGCCACAACCUCAGAACCAUCUUCUCCCUCAGCUAUAAAGGCAUACAUUUUGAUUGAUAACCGUCCUACUGUAGGACAUUUCCUACCUCACCGAGAGAAAGAGAAGACAGAGUAGAAUAUAACAUGGGAAAGAGCAGCAUGAAAGUGGUGUGAAGUCACCAGGCAAUUUGUGAGUGACUCUUACAAACACUUCAUUGCGGAGAAUGGCUGCUUUUAUCUCCUUUUCUCUAACCACGCUUUCACAACUAUAUUAAUUUUCCUGUGCCGGGCGAGAUACAGACAGGUGCGUAACAGCAAAAGGAAAACAUAUUUCUAUAGCUUUCACCCGUCUAUUCUGUUCUAUGUAUUCAUUUGGCAGGUUGCAAGAUAAAGAACAUCAGUUUGAAUUCAUCUUUAAGAUUUUUAUUUCAUGGACUUGUCAAGAAUUUAUUUAAUAGACAACCAAGGCCAUUGUCACCUGUUCUUCAGAGUAUAUUUUCUUCAAGCAACUUUUCCAGUGUUGCAGCUAGUGCUUUGGAAAAGAGUUCCUAUUCCAGCCUCAUUCCUUUCCUUCCUACAAUACUUUCAGACAACAUACUGAAGAAAGGAAAGGUUCUCGAAAGGCCUUGUCUUUGGGAAGUGUAUUUCCAAAUUCAAGAUAAUAGCUGUCGUUCAGUCCACAUCCCUCAGAGAUGACUCUGGUGUGGCAAAGCACAUCCCUUUGGAGUCUGUAGCAGUGCCAAGGAGUACAAAAGGAGCAAAGUUGCAGCUGGUCCAGACUGUUGCCUACCAUGGGGAAUUCCUUCUGUUAAAUCAUGGGAUAAGGAUGAUGAAGGUUAGCUCCUUUAAAACAAUUUUGAAGCCAUAAUUCACCCUUAGCUUAUCUCUUCUUGUGAAAGCUUACAUUAACAUAAUGUGAUCUGAGAACCCAGAGCUGUGGACAAGUCUCACUCACGAGUCACAUAUCAGCACCACAGCAUCUCAUGACAAAAACAUUGUUAGAGGGUUAAUAACUGUUAACAAAAUUUUCUCUCUUUACGAUACAAUAGCUGAAGGUACAUUGAGUCUUAACUGCAGGAAAAUGAUAUCAGCAGAUUUUUCAGGUCUGUAGUAAUUUGUGUCAUCUGUAACCAUAUAACAGAUCUAUUUUAACAUGGGAAACUGGUGAAUUCUUCCUUUAAAUUCAUUAACAUUUGGUUUAAUUGAUUCACAGAAUAGGAAGUAAAGCAUUUCUGCCAAUGUCCAACCAUAACAGGAGAAAUUCCAGUUCUUUACUAUUUGGUUGCAGUAGGUAAAAUCUCAGAAAGGUAAAGUUGCUGUAAUUUUGAGUGAUACUGAGUGAAAGAUUUAUGUUUGUGUUCCAUGACCUAGCUCCUGUCCAAUAUCUUGAAAUAGCUGUGGUGUGUGAAGCUCUACACCACAUGAUUUUUUAAGUCUAAUACAUUUAUA
ensembl:lncRNA